rnacentral:rRNA from 1 species
GAUUUCUGGCUUGAAACAUUUUGCCGGCCACGGUUUCGUGUGUUAGUGCUUGAUGUUCUGGCCAUCCUUCCAAUCGCUAUGCACCUUUCUUCAUUGAUUGGUGUGUGGUAUUGGAUCUUUUACUUUGAAAAAAUUAGAGUGUUUCAAGCAGGCUUUAUGCUAUGAAUACAUUAGCAUGGAAUAAUAAUUUAGGACUUCGGUUCUAUUUUGUUGGUUUCUAGAAUGGAAGUAAUGAUUGAUAGGGAUAGUUGGGGGUGCUAGUAUUCAGUGGCCAGAGGUGAAAUUCUCGGAUUCACUGAAGACUAACUUAUGCGAAAGCAUU